GGCUGAGCCAGUGCACGGAGCGAGAUACUGAGCCUGCAGGCUCAGCUUCACUGCUGACUCCUCUACCUCAUGCUCCUUCAGAAGCCCAGGGGGAUGGGGAAUGGAUGUUGAGCCUGCAUCCUUCAGGGUAAACUGCUCCAGUGUGGACUCCCCUCCCUGGGCCACAGGUCCUCCUGGAAGCCUGCUCCAGCCUGGGCUCCUCACAGGCUUCAGCUUCCAUCAGGACACAUCU